GGGACGGGGCCGCGCGCAGGGGGAGGGGAGGCGGGCAAGAUGGCGCCCGGCGAGUGACUCUCCCAGGAAAGCUCCAGCGCCCGCGGAGACGCCGGGGCGGGGGGGACCCUGCCCUCCGCUGCCGCCCUUCCUCCUCUCCCCCGCCCCCGGAGACCCCCUCCCUUCCUGCACUCCUUCGGCGGGAGUGGGAGAGGGAGGGGAGGCGGGCCUGGUUCCUGGGACACCAUGUCGGACUCCGAGGAGGAGAGCCAGGACCGGCAACUGAAAAUCGUCGUGCUGGGGGACGGCACCUCCGGGAAGACCUCCUUAGCUACGUGUUUUGCUCAAGAAACUUUUGGGAAACAGUACAAACAAACUAUAGGACUGGAUUUCUUUUUGAGAAGGAUAACAUUGCCAGGAAACUUGAAUGUUACUCUUCAAGUUUGGGACAUAGGAGGACAGACAAUUGGAGGCAAAAUGCUGGAUAAAUAUAUCUAUGGAGCACAGGGAAUCCUUUUGGUAUAUGAUAUUACAAAUCAUCAAAGCUUUGAGAACUUAGAAGAUUGGUAUUCUGUGGUGAAGAAAGUGAGUGAGGAGUCGGAAACUCAGCCACUGGUUGCCUUGGUGGGCAAUAAAAUUGAUUUGGAGCAUAUGCGAACAGUAAAACCUGAAAAACACUUAAGGUUUUGCCAGGAAAAUGGUUUUAGUAGCCACUUUGUCUCAGCAAAGACAGGAGACUCUGUCUUCCUGUGUUUUCAGAAAGUUGCUGCUGAAAUCCUUGGAAUCAAGUUAAACAAAGCAGAAAUAGAACAGUCGCAGGCUGGGCAAACCAGGUGAGCACCUUCUGUCUCCUGACGGAACCCCACCUGAGCGAGGCUGACUCCUGCCGAGGUGCUGUACACAUUACAAAAACGCCUUUGUAAACCACAAAACGCUCUCGGAAGUGGAAAAAUCAUCUCGAUCCUGAUGUGAAAACCACAAUUUCCUUUAUUUGUGGAUCCUGCCAGAUUAAAAAGCAUUCAGGGAAGAAGUGCGGCUGGGAGAAUUGAACGCUGUCCGAAGAGGCAAGUUCUCUGAGUCCAGAAUCCUGCCGCGGAGGCCGGCUGGCUCCGUCCAAUUGCAUAAGUCACUUAACCUUCUGAUGACUCUUUUCCCAUCAUCAGGCUGGAAUUAAGGAGUUGGCCUUCCCUCUGGGGCCAGAGAUCUGGACUUCCUAACUGCCAGUUGGAUAACAUGCUUUGCCAUUGCAAUUUGCGCUAAAGAGUCUCAAGGUUGUUGUGAAAACAAGCGAUAAAAGUCAGUUAACAAGCCGGCUGCCACCAGAACAGCCAAUGAGAACACCUAAAGCCACCUAAAGUGCAUCUCCAGGCUUGGGGUUCUGGAAACAGAUUCGGAGACUAGUCAGGCCUUUAUUAUUCUAUUUUAUUUUAUUUUUAUUACUUUUAAGAUUGUGAGGUGGAGUCCCUGGAUAAUUGAUGAAUAAUAUUGUGUUCUCAUAAAGUCAAAAGAAAUUCCCUCAGUUGAGAAACAGUCUACAGGUGUGUGUAGGACCCUUUACAAGGAUCUUAGAGAUAAUCUGGCCUAGCACUUUCGUUUUUGCAGAGCAGGAGUUUGGUCAAAGCAGAAAGUUUAAAUGACCUACUUAUGCUUGUGGAACCAUAGAUCUAGUAGUUGCUGCAGGAGUUUGAAAUCUAACUUUAAUGGUGGUUUAGUUAAUCCAAUCAUUUUAAAAGGAAGGAAUCCUUGAGGAAGGCUGACAACACUAUACACAUUUUUGCCUAAGAGUCAAUUUGAUAGUAGACAAGACAGACCCGGAGAAUGUUGGGUAAUGUCUUUAAUUAUUAUUAUUUUUAAAAUUACUUAAUGAAUUUUAUUACAUUUAUAUGUGUACAACACUCAUCACAACCAAAUUUUAUAGCAUUUCCAUCCCAACCCCUCAGUGCAUCCCCCCACGUAAUGUCUUUAAUUAUAAAAGAAGUCUUCUGAACCUAAACGGGAAUCUUUUUAGAAAAAGGGCAGAAGCAUAGCCAUUGAAGGCAAUGUUGAAAAUGCAAUAUUUUAAUUUUUUCUAUGAAUUCUUUUUUAUUUUUUAUUAAAGUAUAGUUGAUUUAUAAUGUUGAGCCAAUUUCUGCUGUACAGCAAAGUGACCCAGGCAUAUGUAUGUAUGGCAUCUUUUUCUCAUAGUAUCUUCCAUCAUGGUCUAUCCCAAGAAACUGGAUAUAGUUGCCUGUGCUGUACAGUAGGACCUCAUGAAAAUGCUCUAUUUUUAAAGUUGAGUUUAAAACCUUAAAACUUUCCUCCCUCCCUCUCUCCUUUUCUUUCUUCCUUCUAUCAUCCUUCUCUCUGUGUCUCUAUCUCUCUCAUCUUUGCAAUUUUUUUUUUUUAUUUGAAGAGAAGUCUUGGAGGAAAACUAGGUAAAUCUAGGCUUUGGUGACUUGGGGUUGAAAGAAACAUCCAGAAAGUGGAGGCAGGCUGAUUUACAUAGUAGAGAGGAAAAAGCUCCUGGUGAUUUACUCUGACUUGCUAAUUUUCAGAAGGAAAUUAAUAAAAUUGAUUCCAGCAAAAACUCUAAGUGGACAAAUAGAAGAAAAACAAAUUGAGAAUUGUGAAUAUUUAGGGCAUAGAGAAAGUUCUUAGAGAAAUCUUUCCCUUAGGGAGAAAUAAAUAUUUAGGAGAAAUCACUAACUUUAAGGGUCGUUAAAGCAAAGAUCACUCAUAGGAUGGAAGCAAGCCCUCCCACCAACUGUUAAUUCCAAUUCCUAGACUUGGUGGCAGUAACAUGAUUAGUUAUUGUGGGUUCUGGAAGAAAGCAGGACCUUUGGCAAUAAAGCUCUGGAAAUAUGUAUUUUUAAGUACUAUAAAAGAUGUGGAAAGCAACUUUUCUUUUCAUCCUGGGGACUAGAAAUAAUACACCUGCAAGGACAGAUGAAUGGCAUAAUGUUGGCACUCAAUGGGGCAUUAAACAUUUUGCGCCACGUUUAUGGGGUUUUCCUGUCAUUAAUUCUAGGUAAAAUAAACUUUUAAAAAAUG